rnacentral:rRNA from 1 species
GGGUUUAUCCAUUGGUCAGGCUUAAUUGUCUGUACUGGUGAGAUAAAUCUCUACCUUCUGAGGAACUUUCAUGUCAUUAAUUUGGUGUGAUUGGAAAUCAGGACUGUUACUUUGAAAAAAUUAGAGUGUUUAAAGCAGGCUAACGUCUGAAUACAUUAGCAUGGAAUAAUGAAAUAGGACGGAUUGAUUCUAUUUCGUUGGUUUCUAGGAUCACCGUA